rnacentral:rRNA from 1 species
AGUGAACGCUGGCGGCAGGCCUAACACAUGCAAGUCGAACGGCAGCACCGUAACAGCUUGCUCUUAUGGGUGGCGAGUGGCGGACGGGUGAGGAAUACAUUGGAAUCUACUUUUUCGUGGGGGCUAACGUAGGUAAACUUACGCUAAUACCGCAUACUACUUUCGGUUGAAAUCAGGGGAGCUUCGUCCCUUGCGCGUUUGCUUGAGCCGUAGGCGGAUUAGGUAGUGGUAGUGGCAAAGCCCCACCAAGGCGACGAGCCGUAGCUGGGCUGAGAGGGUGAGCAGCCACGCUGGGGCUGAGGGCCAGUCCAGGCUCCUAAGGGAGGCCGCAGUGGGGAAUAUUGGAGCAUGGGCGCAAGCCUGAUCAAGGCCGCCCGCGUGGGUGAAGAAGGCCUUCGGGUUGUAAAGCCCUUUUGUUGGGAAAGAAAAGCUGCCGGUUAACACCCCGCUGUUCUGACGGUACCCAAAGAAGAAGCACCGGCUAACUACGUG